rnacentral:misc_RNA from 1 species
GUAUAUAUUAAAGGUACAAAAGCACCUGAUUCAACAUUCUAAACAAAUUCAUAGGUUUGUGAAAUAAAUGACAUAGACCUGAAAAAUACAAGGGAAAGCUGGUGGUUAGCACAGCAGUCCCCAACUCGAAAAUGAAUCAAAGGCUCUCAGGUCUACAAUAGGUGCACAGUUGGAGAAAUAAAGAUGACAAGCGUGCACAUACCCAAUGAAGGGAUAGCAACAGCCUGUUCAAGUUUAUUCAAUAAUGAUCCUUCCGCAGGUUCACCUACGGAAA